UCUCGUUUCUGUUGACAAUGAUGGUAGUUGUUUGAGGUUCUAAUGGUUCGGGGUUCAUGGCUUGUGAUUGAAGAAGCUAUGGUUGACAAUGAUGGUAGUUGUUUGAGGUUCUAAUGGUUUAGGGUUCAUGGCUUGUGAUUGAAGAAGCUAUGGUUUUGGGAUCUUUUUGGCUGGAAGUCAUGCCGUUUCUGGGUUUUUUUUUCAAUCAAUUUUUUGUUUUACUAUAUCAAUUUCUGGGUUAAUUUGUAGUCAUAUAUUGAUUUGUAUAUAAUUUUUUAUUUUUAUUUUUUUUAGUUCAGAUUAGUAUGUUUUUCUUUAAAACCACUCAUUUGUAUUACUAUUAUUAAUUAUAAUUAUAAUUAUUCUGUGUAUUUUUUUUGUAA